AACUCUAUGCAGUGGCCCCUUCGGCUCGUGGUUCGAUGAAGAGCGCUACCAACUGUGUGAAUUAACGUGAAUCACAGACUGCUUUCAACAUCGAACUCUUGAACGCGAAUUGCGGCCGUAGGUUUGCCUACGGCUACAUCUGGCCGAGAGUUG
rnacentral:rRNA from 1 species